GUUUGCUGAGAAAAUCUUGGAAAUGAGAGACUGAAUUUAAAAGUUGAGGCCUAAGAACUGUGAGUGUGUGCAGCUAAGAAUGAUACAAUGGCGUGGUUACUCUAGAUAAACUAAGUAAACUGGAAUAUAUCAGAAAAGAAGAAAAAAGAUAUGUAAUUAGCUCAGAUGUGCAUAUAACCGUAACCAUUUAUUGGUUGAGGGUAGGAGUGGAAUUGAGGAAUAUUUAAGCAGAAGCGACUGAAAUAUUAGCUCACUUUGUGGGUUUCUAGGAAAUCCUUACCUUGUUAUCAUACUAUUAAUUUGUGUGAAGGAGUGAAGACUCAGAGAGCAGUGACCAUAGAGGAGAAGGGGCUAGGGCACAGAGAGGGGGUCUUGUCGUGUUUUGGCUUUUUGGGGAAAAAGGCUGUGCCAGUAGGCUUUUGGUUGAAACGCAG
rnacentral:misc_RNA from 1 species